rnacentral:tRNA from 2 species
GGAUCCUUAGCUCAGCUGGUUAGAGCGCUACCUUGACAUGGUAGAGGCCGGGGGUUCGAGUCCCUCAGGGUCCACCA